ACCAGCAGCCAUAUCACUCUGCAACUCACAACUGGCAACCCACUGAAGCUAAGCAGGUGUGAGCCUGAUCAGUACCUGGAAGAGAGACUUCCUGGGAAAAACAAAGGUUGCUGCUGGAA
rnacentral:rRNA from 1 species